rnacentral:rRNA from 1 species
UCGGGAAUUUUGGGCAAUGGGCGAAAGCCUGACCCAGCAACGCCGCGUGAAGGAUGAAGUAUUUCGGUAUGUAAACUUCGAAAGAAUAGGAAGAAUAAAUGACGGUACUAUUUAUAAGGUCCGGCUAACUACGUGCCAGCAGCCGCGGUAAUACGUAGGGACCAAGCGUUGUUCGGAUUUACUGGGCGUAAAGGGCGCGUAGGCGGCAAUUCAAGUCAUCUGUGAAAUCUCCGGGGCUUAACUCGGAACGGUCAGAUGAUACUGCUUUGCUAGAGUGCAGAAGGGGCAAUCGGAAUUCUUGGUGUAGCGGUGAAAUGCGUAGAUAUCAAGAGGAACACCUGAGGCGAAGGCGGGUUGCUAGGCUGACACUGACGCUGAGGCGCGAAAGCCAGGGGAGCAAACGGGAUUAGAUACCCUAGUAGUCCCUGAGCGGGCUGGCAAGGCGCAU